UGCUGUAGGUGCUCAAUAAAUGUCAGU
rnacentral:piRNA from 2 species